UACGGAGGGUGCAAGCGUUAUCCGGAUUCACUGGGUUUAAAGGGUGCGUAGGUGGGUUGGUAAGUCAGUGGUGAAAUCCCCGAGCUUAACUUGGGAACUGCCAUUGAUACUAUUUGUCUUGAAUACUGUGGAGGUCAGCGGAAUAUGUCAUGUAGCGGUGAAAUGCUUAGAUAUGACAUAGAACACCAAUUGCGAAGGCAGCUGGCUACACAAAUAUUGACACUGAGGCACGAAAGCGUGGGGAUCAAACAGG
rnacentral:rRNA from 1 species